rnacentral:rRNA from 1 species
CGGACGGGUGAGUAAUGUCUGGGAAACUGCCUGAUGGAGGGGGAGUAACUACUGGAAACGGUAGCUAAUACCGCAUAACGUCGCAAGACCAAAGAGGGGGACCUUCGGGCCUCUUGCCAUCGGAUGUGCCCAGAUGGGAUUAGCUAGUAGGUGGGGUAACGGCUCACCUAGGCGACGAUCCCUAGCUGGCCUGAGAGGAUGACCAGCCACACUGGAACUGAGACACGGUCCAGACUCCUACGGGAGGCAGCAUG